rnacentral:ncRNA from 2 species
UUAUAUUUGCCACGCUUUGGUUUAAUAACUAUUACUCAAUGGUUAUUAAUUAAAAGGGAAUCAGGUGUAAAUCCUGAACAGUACCCGCUGCUGUAAAUCCCAUUCAAAAGCUUAAGAAUAAAACUCAUGCCACUGUUCCGUUCCGGAAUGGGAAGGUGUUUCUUAAGCCGGGAUAAGUCAGAAGACCUGCCAAGUAUACAGCCUGCAA